rnacentral:lncRNA from 1 species
GUCUAGUAUUCAACUGUCUGGGGUUCACCCUUGUGUAUGAUUGCUUCCCUCCCCUGCGUAUGGGUGGGACCUGCGAUUUGCUUUUUUUUUUUUUUUUUUUAACACAUUCAUUUUUUUGAGAGACAGAACAUGAGCAGGGGAGGGGCAGAAAGAAAAGGAAACACAGAAUGUGAAGCAGGCUCCAAACUCUGAGCUGUCAGCACAGAGCCCGACGCAGGGCCCAAACUCAUGAACUGUGAGAUCACGACUUGAGCCAAAGUUGGACACUCAAUUGACUGAGCCACCCAGGUGCCCUCAUGUGAUUGCUUCUAAUCAAGACUAUGGCAAAGGGGAUGGGAUGGCACUCCUGUGAUUACAUUAUGUUUCUAAGAUUCCAACUUGCUGGCAGGCUUGUUCUCCAUCUCCUGCUGGCUUUGAAGAAGCCAUGUUAUGAACUGUCCGUGAAGGGGCCCACAUGGCAAGGAUCUGCAGAUAGCUUGUAGGAGGCCUGACAGCUUCAAGGAACUGAGUGAUCCUCGAGGUGGACCCUUUCCCAGUCAAACUUCAAGAUGAGAUUAUAGCCCAGCCAACACAUUAGUUGAAGUCUGGUGAGACCCCAAAGCAGAGAACCCAGUUAAACCACACUUGGGAUUCUUGACCUACAGAAACUGUGUAUGUUGUUUUAAACUGGAAAAAAAAAAGUGAAACUAAAUAGGAAUAUUUUCUUUUUCAGCAACUCUAUAUGCAGAAGGAUUUUUAAGUUCCAUAAUUCUAUCCUGUCCAAUUUCCUAAAAACCUUCAGGCCUAUGCUAAGAGAAGAAGAAGAAAGAAGGGAAAUCAAAAUGGCAAAUAUAGAAGGCCUGACCAGAAAGAAAGGGAAGGGGCAGAGGAACUGGUGGGGAAUGAGAUCAGCACAUCAAGGAGAAAGGCUAGCAGCGAGCUCCACCGUGAGUGGCCCAAGCGUAUCUCUCAUAGCGCUCCGGAAAACAGAUGGUAGAUGGGUGCUACUUUUCAACGAAUAA